GUCUCCAGAGAUUUGCCCUCCAUGAAGCAGUGUGGAACAUGAGAGCACAUGCUGAAGAAGAGUGCACAGAUAGUCUGGGGGGAGAGAAGAUGCAAAACAUUACAGAACAGGCACCACAAAAUCCAGCUCAUGAUGUGGAAGACAAGAGAGGGCCAAGAGAUAAGCUAAGGAGUUGCACUGAACCUGAACCCAAACCAAAAACCAGCCUAGAGAGGUAUUUUUCAUGAGCCAUAACUGAACCAAAACUUAAAAUCUUUUGGCUGCCUUGAACCUGAACUGGAAAUGAACUCCUAAACACAAGAAGUGGAAACUGGUUUAAAAGAAGUGGUUCAAAUAACCAGGCCUUCAACUUUCAAGUUAAUGGUUAAUAUAUUCUUGUUUGUUUUUAUGUUCUUCUCUUUGUAAACAUCUUUAAAAUAAACACUAAACCUUUAUAAAAUA